CCGCGGUCCGAGCGCAAACUUUUAUUGUCUGUUAUCCCGCGGAAACCAUUCAGUGCAGAAAUAUGAAGUUGUUUGUGGUCAUCGCUUUAUUCGCCUUUGUCGCUGUACAGUUGAGCAAUUCGGCGCCAACGCCAGAUGAUGACAAGAAAGAAGUGGCGGGACCCGUGGCCGUGCCCCAGCCCGCAGAGCCCGCGCCUCCCGCGCCUGAGGUGAAAUCAGCAGCACCGGAGCCUGCGCCCUCACCGAGCCCGGAGACGGCGGCGGCGGAGGAGAAGAAGCCCUAAGCUACACGCACACACGCGGACAA